rnacentral:rRNA from 1 species
GACGAACGCUGGCGGCGUGCUUAACACAUGCAAGUCGAGCGGAAAGGCUCCUUCGGGGGUACUCGAGCGGCGAACGGGUGAGUAACACGUGAGUAAUCUGCCCUUGGCUUUGGGAUAAGCCCCGGAAACGGGGUCUAAUACCGGAUACGACGCACUCUCGCAUGGGAUGUGUGUGGAAAGUUUUUUCGGCCAGGGAUGUGCUCGCGGCCUAUCAGCUUGUUGGUGGGUAAUGGCCUACCAAGGCUUCGACGGGUAGCCGGCCUGAGAGGGUGACCGGCCACACUGGGACUGAGACACGGCCCAGACUCCUACGGGAGGCAGCAGUGGGGAAUAUUGGACAAUGGGCGGAAGCCUGAUCCAGCAACGCCGCGUGAGGGAUGACGG